GACGAACGCUGGCGGCGUGCCUAAUACAUGCAAGUAGAACGCUGAAGAGAGGAGCUUGCUCUUCUUGGAUGAGUUGCGAACGGGUGAGUAACGCGUAGGUAACCUGCCUUGUAGCGGGGGAUAACUAUUGGAAACGAUAGCUAAUACCGCAUAACAAUAGGUGACACAUGUCAUUUAUUUGAAAGGGGCAAUUGCUCCACUACAAGAUGGACCUGCGUUGUAUUAGCUAGUAGGUGAGGUAACGGCUCACCUAGGCGACGAUACAUAGCCGACCUGAGAGGGUGAUCGGCCACACUGGGACUGAGACACGGCCCAGACUCCUACGGGAGGCAGCAGUAGGGAAUCUUCGGCAAUGGGGGCAACCCUGACCGAGCAACGCCGCGUGAGUGAAGAAGGUUUUCGGAUCGUAAAGCUCUGUUGUAAGUCAAGAACGAGUGUGAGAGUGGAAAGUUCACACUGUGACGGUAGCUUACCAGAAAGGGACGGCUAACUACGUGCCAGCAGCCGCGGUAAUACGUAGGUCCCGAGCGUUGUCCGGAUUUAUUGGGCGAAAAGCGAGCACAGGCGGUUUGAUAAGUCUGAAGUUAAGGCUGUGGCUCAACCAUAGUUCGCUUUGGAAACUGUCAAACUUGAGUGCAGAAGGGGAGAGUGGAAUUCCAUGUGUAGCGGUGAAAUGCGUAGAUAUAUGGAGGAACACCGGUGGCGAAAGCGGCUCUCUGGUCUGUAACUGACGCUGAGGCUCGAAAGCGUGGGGAGCGAACAGGAUUAGAUACCCUGGUAGUCCACGCCGUAAACGAUGAGUGCUAGGUGUUGGAUCCUUUCCGGGAUUCAGUGCCGCAGCUAACGCAUUAAGCACUCCGCCUGGGGAGUACGACCGCAAGGUUGAAACUCAAAGGAAUUGACGGGGGCCCGCACAAGCGGUGGAGCAUGUGGUUUAAUUCGAAGCAACGCGAAGAACCUUACCAGGUCUUGACAUCCCGAUGCUAUUUCUAGAGAUAGAAAGUUACUUCGGUACAUCGGUGACAGGUGGUGCAUGGUUGUCGUCAGCUCGUGUCGUGAGAUGUUGGGUUAAGUCCCGCAACGAGCGCAACCCCUAUUGUUAGUUGCCAUCAUUCAGUUGGGCACUCUAGCGAGACUGCCGGUAAUAAACCGGAGGAAGGUGGGGAUGACGUCAAAUCAUCAUGCCCCUUAUGACCUGGGCUACACACGUGCUACAAUGGUUGGUACAACGAGUUGCGAGUCGGUGACGGCAAGCUAAUCUCUUAAAGCCAAUCUCAGUUCGGAUUGUAGGCUGCAACUCGCCUACAUGAAGUCGGAAUCGCUAGUAAUCGCGGAUCAGCACGCCGCGGUGAAUACGUUCCCGGGCCU
rnacentral:rRNA from 1 species